UGGGGAAUAUUGCACAAUGGGGGAAACCCUGAUGCAGCAACGCCGCGUGAAGGAUGAAGGCCCUUGGGUCGUAAACUUCUGUUCUAGGGGAAGAUAGUGACGGUACCUUAGGAGCAAGUCCCGGCUAACUACGUGCCAGCAGCCGCGGUAAUACGUAGGGGGCAAGCGUUAUCCGGAAUUAUUGGGCGUAAAGAGUACGUAGGUGGUUACCUAAGCAAGGGGUUUAAGGCAAUGGCUUAACUAUUGUUCGCCCCUUGAACUGGGCUACUUGAGUGCAGGAGAGGAAAGCGGAAUUCCUAGUGUAGCGGUGAAAUGCGUAGAUAUUAGGAGGAACACCAGUGGCGAAGGCGGCUUUCUGGACUGUAACUGACACUGAGGUACGAAAGCGUGGGGAGCAAACA
rnacentral:rRNA from 1 species